UGGGAGAAUGCUUUUGUGUCUUUAACUGAUCACACAAGUCCUCUAUUUAUAAUAUAGAAUCAUGAUAGGAGUACAAAACGGAAACUAUAAAUUAUAUAAGUAUACCCUUCAUCCAGCCGCCCCCACUCUAAUUAGGGUCGGUGGAGGGGGAAAACCCCAAUGUGCCCCUAUGGCACACUUAUCCUUGUUCUAACAAUGGGCUUGUAGUAUUAAAAUUUCAGACCGCACAUAUGAUACAUAACUCUCAUUUCUCUCUCUCUCUCUCUCUCUCUCUCUCUCUCUCUCUCUCUCUCUAUAAUCAACAGAUUGAUAAAAUUUUAUGCCAUAUUUUAUCUCCAAAAAAAUGGUAUUCUUUGUGUGCUGUAUGUGAGUUGAAAGAUUCCCAUAUUUCCCGUAGUUCUCAGUCUUAUGGCAUAUUAUUUUCUGAAAAAAAAAUUAUGGUAUUCUUUGUGUACUGUAUUGUAAGUUGAAAGAUUCACGUAUUUCCCUCUACUUCUCAGCCUAUGGCAUAUUAUUAGUAUUUUUAUAAUUUAAAGUAUUUUGAUUUUUUAUAUGAUAUUAUAUUUUGCAAAUCAGUGGUCCUACUAACUUCUGCAAUCAAAAGUAUUUCCCUGUGUAACUUCACUCUUUUGCCUUUACUAUUAUCAGAUGUUGGCCACUUGUUUGCAUUGAUGUGCAAAGGAUGCUUGUGGUGGAUACAGUUGUUUCUGGAUAAACAAUUUCAAUGUCUCAAGCAGGAAGGGCGCCGAAAUAGCGUAUGCUAUCUUUUUCCAGGAUUAAAGGCACCACAGCAGUUGAAAUUGUGUCAGGUCUGCAUUGGUAUUUAAAGUAUUGGUGUGGUGCUCAUAUUUCAUGGGACAAGACUGGGGGCACUCAAAUUGAUUCUAUUCUGAUACCAGGAUCAUUGCCUUCUGUGAAAGAUGAGGGUGUAAUGAUUCAACGUCCGGUCCCAUGGAAUUAUUAUCAAAAUGCUGUUACUUCUAGUUGAUAUGGUGAUGUGACUGACAUCUACAGCUGGGGUGGCUGUUAUCCUACUCACGUCGACAUUAUGGUAAACCAGUUUCUGAAAUUGAGGAAGCAUGGAGGAUUCUUUACCGAACAAUAGACAAC